rnacentral:lncRNA from 1 species
UGAAGCUCAUGCCAGUGCUCUGGAGGCUGACCUGAGGCAGGGAGUCACUGGCCACUUGUUCUUCUUUGGGAUGUAGUCACAUUGGUAACCCUCACAUGGAACUGUUUGACCUGAUGUGUGUGUGGUCUUUCUGGAGCCGAGCGAAGAACACUUCAAGGUGUAAGCACCGAAGUCCAGGGGAAGUCAAAAGUAGGACCACAGAGUUCUGGUUGUUUUCUUCUUCUAAAGUGCAGCGGUGAGUGAUAUGACGCUCUCCUGUUGCAGGGCAGUAUUGGUGUUCUAGCCAAGUCUAGAGAGAAUAGCAACCAGAUUUGCUCAGAGGGACCAACUUCAAAUUUGCAUCUGAAAGUGCCCAAGGCAAACAGCGGAGGCAGCGUUUACGCCCGGAGAGAGGCCUUGAAUGCAUCCUUGAGGGCGGUCUGUCUGAGGUCUCUGCCUUCCUGCAAGAGAAUUCUGGAUUUAGAACUAACUCUCACCCCUUCCAGAGUAUCCCCAUCAUAGAUGAAAUAUCCUAUUCAUUUGGGAAUCACAAUACAGAUGUUUCAGUGUGAAGGAAGAGUUCCACUCCCUGGUGACUAAGCACUCAGAUAUACGAGGCUCUGGGAAUCAUUCUUAUCCAAAGCACCACAAUGAUCUUUGGUCAUUGUGGAGUCUCCCAGCUACAAUAAGCAGGUUUCCAUACUAUCUGGAGUCACAAAUCCGGAAUAUACACUCUAUAGAACAAUGAGUCGUUUUGAAAAAGGCUACCUGUCUCAUUCUGGUAACCCUAUGGAGUGUCGCUAAUGGCAAGGAACCAAGACCUCUUGCCAACAGACAGUGAGGAAUGAUGACUACCUAAUAAAAAACACAUGGGACUUUCUUCCAUAAAGGUGACCUCGCACCUGACCAGCAGCUGUGAACUGCAGCCCCCAGAGCCUUCAGAAGAAUAUGACUUCCAUAUCACCUCUCCCUCCAAAGAGCAAGCAGAAGAUUUCUUGCGGCUUCUUCUGACCUAGAACUAUUCAUUCUAGAUCCUGUUCAGUUGACUAUCAUGGAAUGCUCGCAGCAAUACAAAGAGGCAUUGUUCAUCCCUUUCCUAAAGCAUUAAUCAAGAUUACUUGGUUAGUGGUUAUUUUUUAAAGCCACUUCUCUGUUUCUCCACAGGCAUACAGUUUGAUUAUAUAAUUUAUGAUGUCUUGUAGGUUUCUGUCUUAGUGAGUGUUCCUUUUGUUUUUGUGAGGAGGGUCUGAUCACACUGUUGGCGGGAGUCCUCGGAACCUGUUCUGCGGUUGGGAGCCUUGCUAUUAAGCAAAUUGUGUUUUGUGCUCUCUUGUUUGUUUUUCACUUCUCUCAAACUUUACUAAUUUUAAUUGAUCUAAAGAAUUCCCCCUUUUUGUUAUUUCUUAAGAAUAGACAAAGUUUUAUUUUUCUCAAAAUACUUUAUUCUGCCCAAUUGACAGUGUGUGUCCUGCGUAGAACUCAUAAGUUACAAACUGUUCUGUGGGACAGGGAGGUGGCCCACUGAGUAGAAGCACUUUCAGUUUUGAUCCUUGAAAUCAACAUAAAGCAUACAUCUAUAAUCCAGCACAGCUCCUGUGAGUUGGGAGGCUAAGACAGGAGAACACUGAGAAGUCUGGUGUCUAGCUAGCCUGGAAUACACAUGGCGGCAGAACUGAGAGUUUCAUCCUCAAAGCAAGGAACAAGGAAAGAAGCAACUCCUGAAAGUUAUCCUUCAACAUCACCCCCCGCCCCCCGCCACUCACACACACAGGUGUGC